rnacentral:piRNA from 1 species
UCACAGGUGGACCAACUUUUCCGCAAGAC